rnacentral:lncRNA from 1 species
CUAGCUAGCAUAUAUGAAUUGAACAACCAUGCAAAAAGUGAAGAAGAAGAAGAAGAAAACACAGUAUACUGCGUACGUACCUUUAUUAAUUUCACCAAAUUGUACAACAUUUAAACAAACAAAGGGCCCGAGAGCUAGCUAGAGGGUGACCGACACUACUAAUAAAAGAGGUAUAUAUAAGAAGGGGACACAUACAAUUUACAUUGACAAACCAUGCAUGCAUGAUUCCAUAUAUAUCUACGCACACGUCCAAGCAUUAAGCCAUUAAUUCUCAUUAAUCUUUCGGAUUAAUUCGACAACGGAGAAGAACUGCCAGGGUAAAUCUUGUUUUUACCACCGGAUUUACUCGUCAUCUGACCAUCACCAACACUUUUAUCUUUCACACCAUUAAUUACCUCCCUUCUUUCUUUCUCCUUCUUCAUUUUCUCCUCCAAACGCUUUUGUUGCACAUGAAGAAGACCAUAACUAGCACCGGUGGAUGACAUGACUGGGAGUUGUAUACAAAGAAAAUGAAAUUAGUAUUAUAUAUAUAUAUAUAUAUAUAUAUAUAUAUAUAUAUAUAUAUUGUGAAAGUUUCUGGGCUAUAAUUGUGUUAUAUUGUAUUGCAAUGAACUUGAAGAACCCAAAGGAGGAUAAUAUUUAUAGGCGAAAUUUUUGCCUUCUGUGAGCAAAGCAUCCAUCAU